rnacentral:misc_RNA from 1 species
AAAUGCUCAAAGCAAAUUCUUUUGUUAAUUCAAUUGGUUUACUUUGGAUUUGGAGGUUUUGCAGAUUUCUACAAUCUGCUCCUCUUGAAUGUAUUAGCUGGAUCUCAGUAUAUACUUGGUUCCACUCAGUGUGAUAAGUAUCACUCACUGAGGACACCUGUAAAAAAGGUGGCCAAGGAAUACAGAUGAACUGCUUCUAAGAGUCUAUUAGG